AAGACUAUACUUUCAGGGAUCAUUUCUAUAGUAUUUAACUAGGAAAUGUGUUUCGAAAGUGUUAUGUCUCCCAGACCACGAUGAAGAGUUUUGAUACUUCUUUCUGAGCGUGAAUCGAAUUCAGAGUAAUGAUUUAUGUCAUACGCUUUGUUUUAUUGAUGAACGUUCCCCAAUGCAUUUUGUAUUGCGGAUGGAAGGAGUAUGUGCGGAGUGGU